AGGGAGGCGGAGGAUGAAAUUGACAGUUAUUUCCUUUCCCUGCAGGCCCAGGCACCCAAGGAAGAAGCAGCCCAGGGAGUGCCCUCCACAGCAGAGUGGCAGACAGUCACAGCCAGGACCAGAGCAGCUCGCAGCGAACCGGUACCAGCUUCUCCAGUCCGACAAGUGAACAGAUCAAGAGAUCCACGAGGACCCAGAGGAGGAGGCGACGAGUGCUCAUCAUAGGCGACUCCAUCCUGAGAGGUACGGAAGGACCCAUCUGUCGCCAGGACCCCUCGGCACGAGAGUGACCGGACGAGGAAGACGACAGGAGAACUGCAUCCGAGAAACCAACUGGCAGCUUCGGCAGUGGUGUCUCAAGGCAGGCUUCGGCUUCCUGGACAACGACCCGCACAUCACGACGAGGGACAUGCUCAGCUGGGAUGGGCUUCACCUGUCCCCCAAAGGACAGCCCAGCCUGAAGAAGGAGAACAUUGGAAACCUGAAAGCCAUGGGGAGACCAGCACUACAGAACAGCUAACCUUCUCUGAAGGUCAUUCUGCUAUCUACCACCUGUGGAUGCACUGGGUAGCAGCACAACUCUGCCACCAGGUAUAUAUAUUCUGCUAAAAAAAAUCCAUGUCAUGAAUCCAGCCUGAAGGUUUGGUGAUCAGCAAUUUGCCUGAUGAUGUGUGGAGAGGUGAAUGGAUUUUCAAGUGAAAAUGGAAUGCAUCAAAUGAAAGACUGCAACUUAGUGGGGACAUCUACGUGUGCAAUUAACUUGAAGCAGCAAAGUCUGGAGUAGGUUGAGCUGGAGUAAACUACUUCCGGGCACAGCAUCUACAUGUGCACCUGGAACAGCAGCAAUUUGAUCCAGGGUGGAGCAGUUUACACUAGGGCUGAAGACGCAGGGAGGAGGAGGUGAGCUUUGGGCUCUGAGUAGUGGCAUUAGGCAGCGGAGAGGCUGGCUGGGGCAUGAGGGUGCUGAAAGUGCAGAGCCAUGUAGCUAGGCAGCUGGCAGGAGUCUGGCCAUCAGAUGGCUGGGCUGACUGGGCACAAUUUACACCCAUGGUCAGCAUCUACACAUGUAUUUAAUCACAGUUAAUUAAUUCCAACAGUACUAUCUUACAGUACUAUCUUAGGGUGGCAUUAGUUUACUGUGACAUAAUAGCAUCACAGAUGUUGAUGAUGACGCUUUACUCCUCAGUAAAUUAGUCUACUCCAUAGUUAAGUGAACGUGUAGACAUGGCCAUUGUGGUAUUUUAAAGACCCUUUUACCUCUCUGUCACUGUCUAAUUUAUAAAAUCAUGUGGCAGAUACAGCUGAUUAGAGAGCAAAGUAAUGGUCAAAAAGUAUUUACCAUGUUUUUAGCUAUUAUUUAACAACUGAAUAUUGGGAAGAUCUAUUUGAUUGGUAAACUCUCUACAGAAAAUAGUUUGCAAAUGUCUGCCCUAAAUGGUUGAUUGAUUAUGUCAACCUUUUCUGUUUAAUGUCUAUCCAUUAUGCAGUAUCAGCCAUAUUUCCUAAAAGCAUACAUAAUUGUGCAUUUUCCAUAAGACCAUUUGAACAUCUGACCCAGUCUCCCUCCUGUAUGUUGUGACUACACAUGCAUUGCAUUCAGGAUCUUUAUAUAUCAAAUACCAUCCAUUUUAGUAUGAGUUGACGCUUACAGUUUAGUGUAUAGAUCAAAAAUAGCAUAUGAAACAUUAUAUGCUAUUCAAACUGGAUAUUCAGUGGCCUCUUGAGCUUCAAAAUUGCAUUUUACCUUAUGAAUGUUUCUGUUAAUCCUCUCUAGAACUGCAGUAGGAAAGCUGAGACUAGAAGGAGAAUGUGGGUUCUUACUUUAUAUCAUUGUAUGACUGUGUAUAGUCUCGUAAUAAAUAUCUAAUUUGAAUAAAAAACUUAAAACCUGAAUACUUUUUAGGGAGGAGAGAGGAAAGGGAGAUCUUAAAAGCAUUUGGGACUUUUUUUUUCUUUUGAAUAACCCCGUAUCUUAACACUCCUGCACUCCUGAGUUCAUCUGGCAAAGGUGGCAUUAGGAGUUCUUUGGGGCACAGGCAGCCUUAGUUGCUUUUGCAUGAUAUUUUAGAGCUGUGUGAAUAUUUGAUUUUUUUAAUUGUAUCUGUUUUUUCUUUAUCUAUUUCUUUUGGUUUGCUGACAAUUCUGAAAUUAAAACCCCUUUCCUGAAAUCUUAAAACGUUUUACCUGGAAUGUGUUGAAACAAAACUUUGUGGCUUUUUCCAUAUUUUUAAAUGUAAAAAAUUCAGCACACCAGAUAUGUUUGUGAAGUGUGUUAGUGUUAUCGGUUCUGAUUUUUUGAUAGAAAAGAAUGACCAACAUCUUUUUGCUCAGCUUCACAGUAUCUCACACAAGGGACCUUUUCUCCAUAUAUAAAAAUAAAUAACAGGGUGAACAAAAUACUAUCGGAAGUCUCAGGGAGGCCUUAUCUCAUGGAUAUUCAAAGCAGUGAGUUUCACAUGGGUUCAGCAAGUGUUGAACCUUUAACAAGCUUUCUUCAUUGGCAUAUUUUUGAGUGCCUUUUUAGAACUAAAUUAUAGCUUCUGAGACAGCUGCCAUGCCCUCUUUUCUGGUGGUAUGCUAUGGUAUAGCUGGUGAUUUAUGAGUUAAAGACAGCCAAGCUAAUCAAAGCCAUCUAUCUAUCCCUAUCUAGUAUUUCUCUUUCACUUACCCUGGAAUAGGAUUGCAGUAAUCUCAUUGUUUUAAGACUACCUACUUGACCAGCUCUUUAGGUGAGCAUUCAUCAGAUAAUACUAGCAAAAAGUGAACAUCUUUUUAACCACUUAUGUUUGCAAAGGUAAUUCCCAAAAUAGUGACUAAUAAAGAUGUCUAUAUGCAUACCAUAGGUUAGAUGCUCAGCUGCUAUAAGCAAGUGUAGCUCUAUUGAUUUCAAGAGUUAUCCCUCUUUACCUAAGCUGGUCCCUUUGCUGAGGAACCUUUUUCAACAAAGAUAUAUGGAAAGGACAGUCCCAGAAUGCAAGGUGCAAACAUCAGAGUUCCUUGUAGAUCAGG